rnacentral:rRNA from 1 species
UUUUUUAAUUGAAAACUYGUAWGRAKGGUUGGACAAAGAARAWACKGUYYYUUUUAUUAAAAUUGAAUUUAACUUCUAAGKGAAAAGGCUUWRAUUCUCUAGAGGGACGAUAARACCCUAUAAAGCUUUAUAAACUUAUAAAUUUUAUAUAUAUUUAAAUAACAAUAAUUUUUAAAGCGUUUAUUUGGUKGGGGCGACGAUAGUAUAAUUAAAGUAACUGCUUUUAGGUAAGACAAAAAUAAUUGAGUUAUAAUUAAAUGAUCCUUUAUUAAAGAUUUAAAGAUCAAGUUACUUUAGGGAUAACAGCGUCAUUUUUCCUGAGAGUCCUUAUCAAAGGAAAAGUUUGCGACCUCGAUGUUGAAUUAAAAUGUCUACAUAGUGCAGCAGCUAUAUAAGAAGGUCUGUUCGACCUUUAAUAUUUUACAUGAUUUGAGUUCAGACCGGCGAGAGCCAGGUCGGUUUCUAU